ACGCUCGACACCUACGGGGGCAGCAGUGGGGAAUAUUGCACAAUGGGGGAAACCCUGAUGCAGCGACGCCGCGUGAGUGAAGAAGUAUUUCGGUAUGUAAAGCUCUAUCAGCAGGGAAGAAGAUGACGGUACCUGAGUAAGAAGCCCCGGCUAACUACGUGCCAGCAGCCGGUAAUCUGAGCGGGCUGGCAAGGC
rnacentral:rRNA from 1 species